rnacentral:lncRNA from 1 species
UUGAUUCACUGAACAAAAACAAGAGACACAAGAUAACAACAAGAAUUACCAUUCUCGUAAAGAAGACCAGAGAUUGAAGAGCAACCAGGUCCUCCACUUAACCAGAGAAGAAUAGGGUCUUCUUCAGGAUUCCCCUCAGAUUUGAUGAAGUAGUAGAACAACUGCACUUGUUCUUCCUCACCAACACCAAUAUACCUUUCAAGAAAAAAAAACAUACUCCAAACUCAGAACAAAUCCGGUUUAUUCUGGUAGAGCUUUUUUCAGAAAACGAACCCGGUUUCAAGCUCAAAAGGAAGAGGACCUUCAAAACCAGGAAGAUACUUGAUAAUAGAUGCAGAAUCGACAGCAUUGCGAUACGAGAUAACAAGAAAGAAAAGAAGGAGCUUAUGGAUAGAGAAAACGUAGUCGUUAGCCAUCGGUGUUUUGAUAGACCACAGUGUCUUUUAGGACCAAUUAUAGAACCUUUUAUAUUAGAAAAGUGCACACACACACACACAAAAGGCGUACCGUAAUUUACUUUGUCUCUUCCUCACAGUCCUCUUUGUCUCCAUCUUUGGAUUUUGUCUUUUCUUUUUUACAAUUUAUCCGUCAUGUUUUUUCUUAUUAAUAAAAAUAAACAGAUUAGAAAGCGUAUUAAUCACGGCAUACAUCCUAAGAGCUUAUUGUUUAGAAAAAAAAAUGCUAAAACUAGUUGUAUUAGGGUAUCCCAGUUGGAGUCUUUUACAAAAAUAUAACAUUUAUUUAAUUAAAUCUUUCAAAAAAAAUUGAAAAAAUUAGCAUGAGUUUUUCAAUAUUUUGAUAGACUCCAUUAUAAAUUUAUAAUAUUUAAUAUAUGUAAGAAACUUUUCUUGAAAAAUCCUUGAUGGGAUGGCCGUAGAAAGAUAUUGCUGUGGGGCCUUCUUGACUCAGCGAUGCGUGAGUAAUAGCGCGCCAAUCAUUCAGUUCUAACUUCUAUCCAAUCAUUUAGCUGGCCGGAGGCCCGAAGCCUAGUAAGAGAAGGAGAUGUUGGGUCGAUUUAGAAAAAAAAACAUAAAAUAAGAAAAGAUUCGUUGGCAGUGAAGAUAAGAAGUCGAGAGUGAUCUUGAAAAACAUGCAGUGUCGGGCAUGACAUAUUAAUCAAGUGGCCCACCAUACCCAGUUACCAUUCGCCUCUUUCACCAACAAUGAAGAACACAAAAGGCUGGAUGCACGGCCCCUAGUAGAAUUAUUUUGGAUUGAUAUAUAUGUAGUUUUCUGAGUGUUUUAGUUUACUCGCAAGUCCCUCGGCAUUUUCUCCCUUUUAAAUAUGUACAACACUUUGAGAUAUACCUUAGUCCAUGAAUAUGUAGUAGAGACCAAGGAAGGAACAGUUCCAUUGUAAACCUCCAACUUCAUAGUCAUAGGCCCUCUUUAUUUAUGAGUGAUUUAUACUAACAGUCAGUUUUUGACUUUUUAUUACACAAAAGAGCAGUUUGUGCUAUUUGGGUAGUUUUAUUACACAAAAAAGCAGUUUAUUUUCUUUUUGCUAAAUUUUGAUUCAAUGAACAAAAACAAGAGACACAAGAUAACAACAAGAAUUUACAAUUCUCGUAAAGAAGACCAGAGAUUGAAGAGCAACCAGGUCCUCCACUUAACCAGAGAAGAAUAGGGUCUUCUUCAGGAUUCCCCUCAGAUUUGAUGAAGUAGUAGAACAACUGCACUUGUUCUUCCUCACCAACACCAAUAUACCUGUCAAGAAAAAAAAACAUACAAACUUAACUCCCGCGCCGGCUCUGGACGUGUGUGGACGGUGCUUUGGCACAGGGUUCCACCAUUUUUUUGUAAUUUUUUUUGUAUAUUUAGGGUCAUGCAAUUUUAAUUUUAUACAAGAAAAUGUCUUUUUUGUUUUUUUGAACACACAAAAAAAGUCCUAAAAUUUUGAUUUGUAUAAGAAAGGACCCUGAAAAUUUGUUUGUGCACAGGGCCUAAAUAUGUUGUGAGCUGGGUUUUUAACUCCAAACUCAGAAGAAAUCCGGUUUAUUCUGGUAGAGUUUUUUUUUUUUCAGAAAACGAAUCCGGUUUCAAGCUCAAAAGGAAGAGGACCAUCAAAACUAGGCCUGGACAUUCGGAUAACCGGUUCGGAUUCGGGUCGGAUUUUUUGGAUUUUGGAUAUUUCAGAACUAGAGAAAUUGGUACCGAUCGGAUAAUUUAAAAUUACGGUUCGGAUACGGUUUGGUACCUGUCGGAUCCGGUUCGGAUCCGGUUACAUCCGUAGUAACCAAAAUAUUAACGGAUUCAGUCCGGUUCUUUGAAUAUACCAAACUAUUUAACCCGAUAGAACCGAAUUUAAUCCAAAAAAACCGAAGAUAUUCUAAAUAUCCGAAAAAACAUAAACAAG